ensembl:lncRNA
CGGAAGCGGAUUUGGGUCUCUUCGGGGGGGGCUCCGGGGACGCCCCGCCCCCCCCCGCCCCCCCCCCCGGGUCGGCGCUGCCCCCGUUUGGGUGAAUCGGGGGGGGGCGGCGGCACUGCGAUCCCGCCCUCUUCGUACGCCUUCCGGCGCGCCGCGCCGCGGAGCUGAGCGCUGAUUGGACGGGAAAGAGGAAAGGGGGCGGGGUUAAGGGCGGAACCGGAAGUUGGAGGAUGGAGGAGGGGGAGGGGAUUGGGGGGCAUUUUGGGGUGAAAUUGUGGGGAUUUCGGGUCAUUUUGGGGCGGAAUUGUGGGAAUUUGGGGUAUUUUAAAGGAGUUUUGGGGUGAAAUUGGGGAUUUGGGGGCAAUUUGGAGGAGCCGCACUGCGAUCCCGCCCUCUUCGUAGGCCUUCCGGCGCGCUGCGCCGCUGAUUGGACGGGAAGAGAAAGGGGGCGGGGCCAGGAACGGAACCGGAAGUGAAGGAAAGGGAGGGAGGAAGAGGAUUUUAGGGUGAAAAAAGGGGAUUUUGGGAUCAUUUUGGAUCACUAUUAGGGUGAAAUUUGGGGCAAUUUCAGGAUGAAAUUGGGAUAUUUGGGGUCAUUUUGCGUCCAUUUUGGAUCAAUUUGGGUCCUUUUGGGCUCCAUUUGGGGGCAUUUGCGGUCCAUUUGAGGGCAUUUUGGGUCCAUUUUGGGGUCAAUUUGGGCCCAUUUUGGGGUCCAUUUGGGGCAGAAUUUGGGGGUUUGGGGGCUGAAAUUUGGGGGUUUGGGGCCCGGGGGGGGGGGGGUAUUUGGGGUCGGUGGGGUAUUUGGGGUCAGUGAGGUAUUUGGGAUCAAUUUGGGCCCAUUUUGGGGUCCAUUUGGGUCCAUUUUUGGAUCCAUUUGGGUCCAAAUUUGUCCCACUUUGGGGUCCAUUUGGGGCAGAAUUUGGGGGGUUGGGGGCUGAAAUUUGGGGGUUUGGGGCCUGGGGGGGGGUAUGUGGGGUUGGUGGGGUAUUUGGGGUCAGUGAGGUAUUUGGGAUCAAUUUGGGUCCAUUUUGGGGUCCAUUUGGGGCAUCUUUGGGUGCAUUUGGGCCCAUUUUGGGGUCCAUUUGGGGCAGAAUUUGGGGGUUUUGGGGCUGAAAUGUGGGGUUUUGGGGGCUGAAAUUUGGGGUGUUUGGGGUCCGGGGGGGUAUGUGGGUUCAAUGGGGUAUUUGGGGUCCAUUUUUGGGGUCCAUUUGGGGCAUCUUGGGGUGCAUUUGGGCCCAUUUUGGGGUCCAUUUGGGGCAGAAUUUGAGAGUUUGGGGACUGAAAUUUGGGGGUUUUGGGGCUGAAAUGUGGGGUUUUUGGGGCUGAAAUUUGGGGUGUUUGGGGUCCGGGGGGGGGGUAGGGGAGGGGUCAGUGGGGUAUUUGGGGUCAGUGAGGUAUUUGGGAUCAAUUUGGGCCCAUUUUGGGGUCCAUUUGGGUCCAUUUUGGGGUCCAUUUGGGUCCAAAUUUGUCCCACUUGGGGUCCAUUUGGGGCAGAAUUUGGGGGUUUGGGGGCUGAAAUUUGGGGUGUUUGGGGCCCGG